rnacentral:rRNA from 1 species
AACAGGAUUAGAUACCCUGGUAGUCCACGCCGUAAACGAUGUCGACUUGGAGGCUGUUCCCUUGAGGAGUGGCUUCCGGAGCUAACGCGUUAAGUCGACCGCCUGGGGAGUACGGCCGCAAGGUUAAAACUCAAAUGAAUUGACGGGGGCCCGCACAAGCGGUGGAGCAUGUGGUUUAAUUCGAUGCAACGCGAAGAACCUUACCUACUCUUGACAUCCAGAGAAUUUAGCAGAGAUGCUUUAGUGCCUUCGGGAACUCUGAGACAGGUGCUGCAUGGCUGUCGUCAGCUCGUGUUGUGAAAUGUUGGGUUAAGUCCCGCAACGAGCGCAACCCUUAUCCUUUGUUGCCAGCGCGUAAUGGCGGGAACUCAAAGGAGACUGCCGGUGAUAAACCGGAGGAAGGUGGGGAUGACGUCAAGUCAUCAUGGCCCUUACGAGUAGGGCUACACACGUGCUACAAUGGCGCAUACAAAGAGAAGCGACCUCGCGAGAGCAAGCGGACCUCAUAAAGUGCGUCGUAGUCCGGAUUGGAGUCUGCAACUCGACUCCAUGAAGUCGGAAUCGCUAGUAAUCGUAAAUCAGAAUGUUACGGUGAAUACGUUCCCGGGCCUUGUACACACCGCCCGUCACACCAUGGGAGUGGGUUGCAAAAGAAGUAGAUAGCUUAACCUUCGGGAGGGCGUUUACCACUUUGUGAUUCAUGACUGGGGUGAAGUCGUAACAGGUAACCGUAGGGGAAACCUGCGGCUGGAUCACCUCCUU